rnacentral:rRNA from 1 species
GGUGUAGGGUUGAAAGAUGGUUUCGGCUAUCACUUUAGGAUGGACCCGCGGUGCAUUAGUUAGUUGGUGAGGUAAAGGCUCACCAAGACCGUGAUGCAUAGCCGACCUGAGAGGGUAAUCGGCCACACUGGGACUGAGACACGGCCCAGACUCCUACGGGAGGCAGCAGUAGGGAAUCUUCCACAAUGGACGAAAGUCUGAUGGAGCAACGCCGCGUGAGUGAAGAAGGUUUUCGGAUCGUAAACUCUGUUGUUGGAGAAGAAUGUAUCUGAUAGUAACUGAUCAGGUAGUGACGGUAUCCAACCAGAAAGCCACGGCUAACUACGUG